rnacentral:rRNA from 1 species
CCCUUAGAUGCUCUGGGCCGCACGCGCGCUACACUGGUCGAUGCAACGAGUUUCUUUCCUUGGCCGACAGGCCUGGGCAAUCUUUGAACAUCGAUCGUGAUCGGGAUAGAUUCUUGUAAUUUUUGAUCUUAAACGAGGAAUUCCUAGUAAACGCAAGUCAUCAGCUUGCAUUGAUUACGUCCCUGCCCUUUGUACGCACCGCCCGUCGCACCUACCGAUUGAAUGGUCCGGUGAAAUCUCCGGACUGGCGUGAGUCGGAGCAAUCUGACAAACGCCGGAAAGUUGAUUAAACCUUACCAUUUAGAGGAAGGUGAANUCGUAACA